UACGGAGGAUGCGAGCGUUAUCCGGAUUUAUUGGGUUUAAAGGGUGCGUAGGCGGAAGAUUAAGUCAGCGGUAAAAUGUCGGUGCCCAACGCCGGCCGGCCGUUGAAACUGAUUUUCUUGAGUGGGCGAGAAGUAUGCGGAAUGCGUGGUGUAGCGGUGAAAUGCAUAGAGAUCACGCAGAACUCCGAUUGCGAAGGCAGCAUACCGGCGCCCGACUGACGCUGAGGCACGAAAGCGUGGGGAUCAAACAGG
rnacentral:rRNA from 1 species